rnacentral:rRNA from 1 species
AUUGAACGCUGGCGGCAUGCCUUACACAUGCAAGUCGAACGGCAGCACGGGGGCAACCCUGGUGGCGAGUGGCGAACGGGUGAGUAAAGCAUCGGAACGUGCCCAGUAGUGGGGGAUAGCUCGGCGAAAGCCGGAUUAAUACCGCAUACGACCUACGGGUGAAAGCGGGGGACCGAAAGGCCUCGCGCUAUUGGAGCGGCCGAUGGCAGAUUAGGUAGUUGGUGGGGUAAAGGCCUACCAAGCCGACGAUCUGUAGCUGGUCUGAGAGGACGACCAGCCACACUGGGACUGAGACACGGCCCAGACUCCUACGGGAGGCAGCAGUGGGGAAUUUUGGACAAUGGGCGAAAGCCUGAUCCAGCCAUGCCACGUGCGGGAAGAAGGCCUUCGGGUUGUAAACCGCUUUUGUCAGGGAAGAAAUAUUCCGGGCUAAUACCCCGGGAGGAUGACGGUACCUGAAGAAUAAGCACCGGCUAACUACGUGCCAGCCGCCGCGGUAA